CUGGUGUUUACUUUUUUCCUUCAGAGAGGCGUAUCAGUGCAAGAGGGUCUCUAAAGCAGUAUAGCUGAUUAUGCAUCAUCUCUGGAGACAACUGAUGAAAAAUUUCAGCUAGGAUUCUGUAAUGUCAAUAAAACUAUACAGGAAAAAUUGUUUCAGGGAGAAGAUUGAUGCUCCUUUGGAAAAAAAACAAAACAAAACAAAACAUUAUGAACCUGGCCCAGUCCUUUUGCCCUGAAUUAUGCAUGGAGUCACCAAAAUUGCAGAUAUCAGUCAAUGCCUACAGAAAAAUGCAAGGCUAGGGAAGUAAUGGCUUUAGGAUUGUCCUAAAAGGAAAGUGUCUCUUCUAUUUUGGCCUCAUGCUUUUAGGCACAUUUUAUCUCAGAAAAUCAUAGAUAACCAGAACCUUAAGAAACUUCCCUUGGUCUCCCCCCACCCCUCUACCCCUCCCUCCUAGAUAGACUUACAUGAUUCCUGACAAAUACUUACCCAGUUCUUCAAAAUCGUCAGCAAGAGAAUCAUAGAAUCAUAGAAUCACAGAAUAUCCCAAGUUGGAAGGGAACCAUAAGGAUCAUCAAGUCCAACUUCUGGCACCACACAGGUCUACCCAAAAAUGCAGACCAAGUUCCACAGCCUGCUAAUAUAGCAAUUGCCUCAAAGCCUUAUCAGAGGCUUCCUGAAUGCUGGCUUAUAUUUAUUCUGAAAUCAAAUCAAAUCAAAACAAAACAAAAACAAAAACAUUUCACAUAUAUUUCUUAUAUUUAUGUCAAGGAGCUGAAGGAAAAGAGAAUUGUUUCUUCACUGUAAUAGCUUCUAGGGAUUUCAGUUUAGCAACUGAAAUGGGCACCACAUUUAGAAGCCUGAUGUGAGGUAUUCCUGGCUAUGUUUAGCCUACUAAUUGAGACAGAAGAUGGAGGGUUGUCCAGCACAAACAUCUCUCCAUUGAGGGGUGCUACAGGUGCUUACUGCCUCUGAUUUUUGAAUCCAAAGCCUUCUGAAAUAUGCUCAUUAGAAGAUUGCUGAAAUGAAAGGAGUGCCUCUGCAGCACGCCCUUUGUGCUGAAUUUGCUACCUGAUUACAGAUGGCACUACCAGCAGGAGAAAUUUUAGUUCAGAGCAGUGUGGUGGUGAGGGGGGACGUGUUGGAGUUUGUCUGAUCUCAGGGUGCGUUGUGGGAGCCCAGUGGGAGUGGAAAGGGCAGUGACAGGGUGGGAAGGUUGGCUUGGGCAAUAGCACUCUAGAGUGAGAUAGCAGAGAUGUGCUCUCACUGGCUGCACUACAGCAACCUCGCAGAGCAGGGUCAAAAACAGUGUCAGGAAGCAGCUCUAGAACUGCAAUAAAGGAUCAUUGAAUACUUGUAUAGGAUGGGUAAAGGUGUACCCAGAAUGGGAGGAACAGAUGUCAGUUGCAGGGCAAAGAGCCAAUAAGGACAAAAUGUAAGACAUCAGUCCACAGGGUUCUGCCAUUUAUGAAAUGGGAUGUACAGCCAUGCUUGAAGCCUGUUCUCAGGAGAAAUAUAUAUUUAAUGUAUACUGUA